UGCCAUCAUUCAGGUCAACUCCAAGCGCUU
rnacentral:piRNA from 1 species